GCUGCAGCCCAGGGACUGCGACCCUGUGCUGGGUAGAGUGAGGUAACAAUUAGGAAAUGACCUGCUACCUCCAGGUGCUGGUUCUUACAAGUUAAAGGGCCAGAGACUCCCUCCUACUGAAAAGCACCUUCCUCCAUUUGAGUGGGUACCUUAGCGGGUGGACCCCACAAGCCAUUGAUAAGAGAAUGAUGGGCCAGUCCUAGAAGAGGAUGUUCUCUUACCUUUGGAGCACUUAGAAUUCAGAGUACCAUGCUAAAUACUUGAUGCAUUCUUCAAAGCAAAUUAUGAGAUGGAUAUUCAAUGCUUAUCAUCCCAACAUGUAAGAAGCAGAGACAGGAUGGCCACAAAUUCAGUGCCAGCCUAAGCUACAUAGUAGGACCUGCCAGUCUCAGUGGAGAAGGUCUAUCAACAAUAGAACCCCUAACUAAAACAGAUGACAAGAAUGAGGCUGAAGUGAUGUCCAACAGAGAAAAUAAGGAGCAAGAUCUAAUGUAUACACAGUGCAGAGGUUGUCCUUCUAACAACUGAGUCACAGUGGUCUCAGAAGUGGAAAUAUGCCAUUGUAGAUGGUAAGUAGAUAGAUGUUGAGAGACUAUAUGGAAGCUCUUAGUGAA